UCUCUCUCUCUCUCUCUCUCUCUCUCUCUCUCUCUCUCUCCCUCUUUGCAGAUAAUCUCCAGGGCCUCCUCUGCCAUGGCUGCCUUUCCUUGCUCUAGGGUGAGGAGUGGGCUUCACGUUUGGCCGGGAGUGAGAACUUUGCUUUAGAAAAGGCCUUUUGUAUGGGUUCCUUCGAUUCUUGUCUACACCGUUAAAAACCUUGCGCAGAGCUAGUCGAUCCCUUAGAGUGAAUCAAUUUUGCAGUGUUGUUAAUCUGUUUUCGACAUUGCAAAUUGAAUUGGCCAGGAAGCUAGUUUAGAUGGAGCUGAUAUGGAGAUUGUCUCUUCAUUGCUGCAAGCGUGUAAUGCUCUGUGAUGGAAUGCUCUCUUGUACUAUGACACAGUGUUAUUUGUGAUGGAAUCCUUUCUUGUAAUAAAUAUUUUGCUACAGUAUUAUUUUUGAUGGAAUACUUUCUUGUAAUGCUGAUUUUAAUAUUUUUUUGUGA